UUAUGGCUCAGGAUGAACGCUAGCUACAGGCUUAACACAUGCAAGUCGAGGGGCAGCAUUUGAAAGCUUGCUUCAAAGAUGGCGACCGGCGCACGGGUGAGUAACGCGUAUCCAACCUUCCCCUUAGUAGGGCAUAGCCCGGUGAAAAUCGGAUUAAUACCCUAUGUUCUUCGUAGAGGACAUCUGAAAUGAAGCAAAGGUUCACCGCUAAGGGAUGGGGAUGCGUCUGAUUAGGUAGUAGGCGGGGUAACGGCCCACCUAGCCGACGAUCAGUAGGGGUUCUGAGAGGAAGGUCCCCCACAUUGGAACUGAGACACGGUCCAAACUCCUACGGGAGGCAGCAGUGAGGAAUAUUGGUCAAUGGGCGAGAGCCUGAACCAGCCAAGUAGCGUGCAAGGAUGACGGCCCUAUGGGUUGUAAACUGCUUUUAUAUGGGGAUAAAGUCACCCACGUGUGGGUGUUUGCAGGUACCGCAUGAAUAAGGACCGGCUAAUUCCGUGCCAGCAGCGGC
rnacentral:rRNA from 1 species